AUUGAACGCUGGCGGCAUGCUUUACACAUGCAAGUCGAACGGUAACAGGUUAAGCUGACGAGUGGCGAACGGGUGAGUAAUGCAUCGGAACGUGCCCGGUCGUGGGGGAUAACGCAGCGAAAGCUGCGCUAAUACCGCAUACGAUCUGAGGAUGAAAGCGGGGGACCGUACGGCCUCGCGCGAUCGGAGCGGCCGAUGACAGAUUAGGUAGUUGGUGGGGUAAAGGCUCACCAAGCCAACGAGCUGUAGCUGGUCUGAGAGGACGACCAGCCACACUGGGACUGAGACACGGCCCAGACUCCUACGGGAGGCAGCAGUGGGGAAUUUUGGACAAUGGGCGAAAGCCUGAUCCAGCAAUGCCGCGUGCAGGAAGAAGGCCUUCGGGUUGUAAACUGCUUUUGUACGGAGCGAAAAGGUCUCCUCUAAUACAGGGGGCUCAUGACGGUACCGUAAGAAUAAGCACCGGCUAACUACGUGCCAGCAGCCGCGGUAA
rnacentral:rRNA from 1 species